rnacentral:lncRNA from 1 species
CUCAGCAACACACUUAGCCUCCCUCCCCAAAGCCUUUUUUAAUUUUCCAUAGUAUUCAAAACAUCUUGAGGUAGUAUGCAAAUAACUUCAGAUAUACCAAAGAGUAACUAAAGUUACCCCUGUGACUCAUUAUAAAAUAAAUGGUAAGGACUUGAAUUAUGUCAGAAUUCAAGUAAGGAAACUACUUUAAAUGAGCCUCACUUUUUAUGAUGCAGGCCCCUAAUAUAAAAUUAUUUCUUGGUAAGACAACUUCUUAGAGGAUAAAACCACCCAACAACAACAAAACACUUCAUAGGACUCUUGUUUAAACUCUACUGAACAGUCCCCUGACCCAACUGAUAUUUCUCUCUGCUAAGAAGAAGAGUAAAUUGUGCUUCAUGGCCUAAAAUUUUACAUGUAGUAUCAAAUAGCUACCGAAUGCCUAUGUGACAAACUCUAAACUGACCAAACGGUUACUUAAUUAAAGACUGAUUCAAAAGACCAAAAAAAAAAAAAAAAAAAGAUUUCUAUUCUAUUCUAGGAUUUGGCAAUGUAUGCACAAAAUACUCUUGUGUGUACUUACUUUUCAGUUCCUAUCCCCAAAUGGUUUCUAUCCUAGAAAGGAUUUAAAUGUUAUUCAAAGACAAUGAUGAAAUAGCUCUCCAUUGACAAGUAAGCUGAAAGCAAGAAAAUGUUUUAGUGAGUAGUAAUUCUGGCUUAACAAUGCUGUAUAUGUGGUUCAGGUUCUCUCUCUCUCACCCUCCCUCUCUUUCUCUCCCCCCCUCCAUGUAUGUGGGGGUGGCAUUGGUGGGAGUGGGGACAGCAGAAGCAGAGGCUAUUUUUACACUUGACUAUAAGAGGGACAGAAACCUAAACAAUCAAAUUUCAGCUUAACAAAGCCUGGCCUUUUCCUAUUGAAGCUCAUAUGUAUACUUUUCUAAUUAGUUUUGUUUCCUUAUUUUCAUAAUUUUGCUUUUUGAUUCUACAAAUGCAAAUCAAUUGUAUAAAGAAAUGCACUUAACUUGAAAAUUUUAAUUUUGUUUAGAGAAAGUUUUGCAUAGGCCUGUCUUUUGCAUAUGCCUUCUAUGGUUGAAUGAAUGACCAGAGAGAGAGAAAAAAAACACAUAGAGAUAAUCAGUAUAUAAAGCAUUGUGAAUUUUGGAGCCUAAUUUCUUCUUCAUAUCAAAU